GGAUUAGAUACCCUGGUAGUCCUAGCUGUAAACGAUGGAUACUAGGCGUUGCUUGUAUCGACCCGAGCAGUGCCGAAGCCAACGCGUUAAGUAUCCCGCCUGGGGAGUACGCACGCAAGUGUGAAACUCAAAGGAAUUGACGGGGGCCCGCACAAGCGGUGGAGUAUGUGGUUUAAUUCGAUGCAACGCGAAGAACCUUACCAGGACUUGACAUGUCCGGAAUCUCCUUGAAAGAGGAGAGUGCCUUAGGGAACCGGAACACAGGUGGUGCAUGGCUGUCGUCAGCUCGUGCCG
rnacentral:rRNA from 1 species